UGUGUAAACUCUGUGAUUUAUAAUGAAGACAUACGAAUAAAAGCUAUUAAUCUUGAUCACUAGCUAAUCAUCUUAAAAGCAGCAAUAGAAAGUAACAUAAGAAUAUAACAUUGGUUUGUGAAUUGCGACACAUUGAUAGAUUAUAUUGUUAGCAGAAAGGAGUAUAUGCAUAUUUACAUGCCUUGAAGGUGAUGUUUCCCCAAUAAAGUAAGAUUAGUUAACAAUCUCAAUAAUUUAUGCACUAUUGAUAAAUAUAACAAAGAUUGGAAAGAUUUUUAAUUUGUUUGUCUUCAAGCCAUUAUAGUAAAUAUAAGAUGACAUAUAUACUUUUAACUACGGAGCUCAAACUUUAGGACAUAGAGUUCGGAUUUGAGGAUCCGAGCUUGAAAUUUGUAUCUGCCCAGGGGGCAAUGAUAAAAUUUUCUUUUUUGGGUAAGCUAUAAUAGAAGCGAUGUGUCCUGGUCGUGAAGCACCGGCGCGUCCUUCGUAUUCUCCUUUGUUAAAUGAUCUACAUCUUCAAGGUGCUGAAGCACGUUGACCCGGACAUCGGUAUCUCCAGUAAAGCAACGGCAAAAAGGCAUAAUUCGAGAACCACAGUAUGGGUUAGCAAACAAAGCAAUAAUCAAGAAAGAGAAGCACAAUAAUCCCCCAUAACUGAAGCAUAGAACUGGAAAAUUGAUAUAUACAAGUAUAAUAAGCCCUUCUGAUGUCAAAUAUUUUUGUCUUUUAGUUAGUUUAGCUCCAAACUUUUAAUUUGUGGGUAUACAUACGAGUCUAAGAACCUGGUAGCUAUUAUCAUGUGUGGCAUUAGUUGUUGUAUGUGGCAUUAGUUGCUGCCGGCGCGUAGUUAUAUUACAAAGUUCCUUCUUUCAUAUUUUUUCAUAGAUCUCUCCCGCGGUGUUCAUCAUCUCAAUUAUUUCUUCAUCUUAGCCCAAAUCUCAGUUUUUAUUGUCUUUCUUCUUUCAUAAUAGAAGUUUGUCCUUGAGCUUUUGAUUUCCCUUAUUAUUUCUCUAUUUUAUUGCAAAUUUGUAGGCAACUUAUGCUGCAAUUUCUUGCCCUUGAGUAUUUAGCACCUGGUUUCGACAUGUUAGUUUUUUGUCCAUAGAAUUGAUUAUUAAUGGUAUAUUAGUCAUUUUGUCUAUUAGGCAAUAGCUAAUCAUGCUUUUUACGUGCCUUUCGUUCCUGCAUCCACCUCAUUAUUCCUACGGUGUGUGAAUAUAUCUAAUCUAUUGUGUCAGUUGUCUGUUGCCUUUUCAUUUCUCUCAAAUUCUCCACGGAUUAUAGAAUUUUCUUCAGCACAAAAUCCCUUCUAUCGUUCUUCUCUUUUGGUGUUGAUUGUUUUCUUUGUUGCCUCUUACAAUUUUCAGAUUAGUAUUAUAAUCUAUCUGCUAUUUAAUUUUUUUGUUCUUCGUUUGUAUGUUUCCUGCUGUUUUUGGAUGUGGUUGAAUGCACUUUUGGCUAUGGUGAUCUUUAGGUUAGAGCACGUGUUUGCCAUGUUCCUAUGGCAUUCCCAGUUCGCACAUUAUUCUGCUAACUCAUUUUCCAUGGUUUAUUAAAAUGUUUAUGCCUCUUUCAAACUGACUGUUAGAUGUAACAAACUAUAGAGCUUUUACAGAACAGACGCUCUGUGUCUUUGAGCUCUUUUACUUAGAUUCUUUUUUUUAAUAAUGGAUUAUUUUUUCCAAGUGUUCGACUACAGAGUUUCUUUAAAAUCGUAGUAAUAAUUUUUGUCUUUACCUCACUAGGAUGCUGAGCUUGAAAUGUGAUGUCAUAUAAAAAACUUCUUUUCCAAACUUUGAUUUAUAUAUAUAGAACGGAAAAGGGCCAAAAAUACCCCUAAAAUAUGUCGACAAGAAUCCAUGAUUCUAAAACUUUAUGAUUUUGACAAAUAAACAUAAUAAGAAUACUUAGCCAAGAGAAUCCAUAAGAAUGAUUCAGAUUGCUCUGUAACUCUGGAAGGUUGAGGGUAUUUAUAGACCAAAAGGUGCAACAAGGGUAUUUGUGACCCAUUUUUCAUAAGUUAGAGGUAUUUUGGCCCUUUCCUUGUGUAGUUAGUAAAUACUUCCUUGCAUUAAGAAUGUCCAAUGAUAAGUGUUCCAUCUGCUAAAACAGAAAAGAAAGAGUUCAUGUCGAGACUACUGUUUGAUCACCCAUAAACAUAUAAAAAUAUUAAAAAAUAAUAUUGUGUUGAGUUGUUUGCUCUUUUUUACCUGUAGCUAUGAGAGAAACUGAUGAACCACAUUAAUGAUGUACGCUCUUUUGGGAUCUAUCCUUAACUGUAAACAUAGAAGAAAUUAGUCCAACAGAUAUGAGCGCAAAAUGACGAGACUUAGAGAAUUGUUAGACCCCUUUGUUCUGUGUUGUUCACUUAUCACUUUGGAAGUUGUCUUACGGUUAGCUCCAAUGUUUAUCGUCUUUCUUGGCUCCUUUGGCAUAGUAAUUAUCAUUACAUGCUCUUUGACCUUUGUUGAUGAAAGUGAUCUUCUCAGUAAAUCAGAUUUUUGUUAAACCGGCACAAUUACAAUCAUAUGUGCAACGAUUGAUGAUGUUUGAAAAUAUAUGCCUUUCACCAAUAAAAUCUGCAGAACAUAAUUUCAUUUUCCACUAUAUUAGUGGGACAAGUUUGCAUUUAGUCUAUUUGAGAUAUGGACACUACUAUUUGAUCAGUUCAACGUAAUUCUACAGGUGUCUCUGCUCAGAAAUUGCUAGGAAUGUAAAUCACCUUAGGAAAAUGCGAGGAAGAAAGUAGUCUACACAAUUCUGAAAGCUACUUAAUAGCAUAAUGCAGAUAACGGAACAGGCUUGCCACAACAAGAAGGCAUGGUAUAAAGAUGCUGUAACUGAGGCUCUGUAUUGGUUAUUGGAGAGGCAUCGUCCGUAUGUCCUUUGUGCAGAUAUUUUUUUUUAUGAGAAUAGCCAGAUCAUGCUCAUCUCUCUUGGAUUCUCCACACAUAGAAUUUUCUCCUUAAACUUGAACGGAAAAGUUUCCGGCAGCAACCCCUUAAGCUUACCGUCCUCAAAUUGGAUAGCUCUUCUUUCGGUAUUCUAUAUGCUUUUUUGUUUUCUUAAUUCGAAGAUUGAUGUAUAUUUUUGGUUGAUGGAUAUGUUUUAAUUCUAAGAUUUAUAGAAAUUGAAGUAGCUAGACAUGGGAACAUGGAAGCUCUCAAAAGGGAGGUGCAAGAUGCCUUCACCCAUUACAAGGUUUGAUGGUAUGUACUGUGUAUUAUGUCUGUUGUCAAUUGCAAAUGCAAAAUGCUGGGACUUUUUGUGAUGGUGUGUAACAGGAUUGAAGGAGCUGUAUAAAAUUUCAUGAAAUAUCUUCAGGAGUUGGACAAGAAAUGAACAUUGGGGAAUCUCUUGGAAUUUCACAUAAAUUAGGGUUAUUCGCCUGAUGCAGCUCUUCAGAAUUCUCUGAAGGACCGGACUGGAACCGGGUUCCUAAUUCUACACAUCAAAGGAUUAAAUAUUUGGAGGCAUUCAACGGAGCAGUGAUAGAAUGAUACUUGAGUUCUUAUGCCACAUCUAGAACUAUGGUGUUGUUGAGUUUCCUCUUCACGUAAUAAACUCAUGCUUCACGAGAAGAGUGAAAUAUCCGUUCAAGAACUUCUUGCCCAUUUUGCUGGGAUGUCGACUAUAGGCAUUCUUUCAAGUGGUUUGCUCAAAGAUUGCGCUGCCAAUUAGAUCUUCUGGCUUUAUAACAUCCCGAAGCCUCUGGGUUCUGUAAAGAGUAAAAUAUCAUUUGCUUGAAGCCAUCUGCUCAUACUAUUCAAGGAAAGUACAGGCCCGCUUCACCCAAAUGAUAUGCCUGAAAGGUUUUUGCUUUCCUGUCUUAAUUCCAGAGGAAGAUUAGUGAAAGCUUCCAGAGGAGGAUCAGUGAAAGCUGGUGUGACCUGUAUAAGUAUAGAGUAGUUUGUAAUUUAACCAUGAUCCUGGGCUACUAAAUGAAUGAUCUUCUUUUGCA